GAUGAAGAACGUAGCGAAAUGCGAUACGUAAUGUGAAUUGCAGAAUUCAGUGAAUCAUCGAGUCUUUGAACGCACAUUGCGCCCCCUGGUAUUCCGGGGGGCAUGCCUGUCCGAGCGUCAUUGCUGCCCUCAAGCACGGCUUGUGUGUUGGGCCUCCGUCCUCCUCCCGGGGGACGGGCCCGAAAGGCAGCGGCGGCACCGCGUCCGGUCCUCGAGCGUAUGGGGCUUCGUCACCCGCUCUUGUAGGCCCGGCCGGCGCUUGCCGACACAUCAAUCUUUUUUCCAGGUUGACUUCGGAUCAGGUAGGGAUACCCGCUGAACUUAAGCAUAUCAAUAAGCGGAGGA
rnacentral:misc_RNA from 1 species